GAUGAAGAACGCAGCGAAAUGCGAUAAGUAAUGUGAAUUGCAGAAUUAGUGAAUCAUCGAAUCUUUGAACGCACAUUGCGCCCGCCAGUAUUCUGGCGGGCAUGCCUGUUCGAGCGUCAUUUCAACCCUCAAGACCCCUUCGGGGGACUUGGUGUUGGGGACCGGCACAGGGGCCUGCCUGCUUGUCUUGCAGCGCCCUCGCCGCCCCCGAAAUGAAUUGGCGGCCUCGUCGCGGCCUCCCCUGCGUAGUAGCACAACCUCGCAACGGGAACGUGACGGCGGCCACUGCCGUAAAACAACCCCAAUUUUAUUAGAGUUGACCUCGAAUCAGGUAGGAAUACCCGCUGAACUUAAGCAUAUCAAUAAGCGGAGGA
rnacentral:misc_RNA from 1 species